UACGAAGGGUGCAAGCGUUACUCGGAAUUACUGGGCGUAAAGCGUGCGUAGGCGGUUCGUUAAGUCUGAUCGUGAAAGCCCUGGGCUCAACCUGGGAAUUGCGAUGGUAUACUGGCGAGCUAGAGUACGGUAGAGGAUGGUGGAAUUCCGGUGUAGCGAUGAAUGCGUAGAGAUCGGGAGGAACACCCGUGGCGAAGGCGGCCCAUCUGGACCAGUACUGACGCUGAGGCACGAAAGCGUGGGGGAGCAAACAGG
rnacentral:rRNA from 1 species